rnacentral:lncRNA from 1 species
CUACAGACCUAUCCAAUAAGGACUUCUAGGAGGCUAUAUGCUCCAACCCCUUGAAUCCAACACAGAUUUGGCUCUUAAGAGCCUCCACCAAAGGCAACUUUCGAAGAUAUGAAUCUCCACCACCAUGUGCAAAGAAGCACCUUGUUGAAACAUAUAAGAGGUUUAAUGCCAAUACCACCCAUGUUCGUAGGUUGCCUAACCUUGUCCACUGCAAGCAGAUAGUCACUUCUAUUCCUCCAGUUCACCCAGGAAGGACCAACGUCAAAGAGACUCCAGCCAUUUUGCCACACUGAUUGGAAGGGGAAAUAAAGAAAAAAUAAUAUAAGAUGCAUUCUAUAGGGUCAAGCCUCCCUAUUUCGAAAGAAAAGCCCUUCUACCCAACAAGCUUCUCUCAAAUAUAGCCACUAAAGUUUCUUAAAUGGUCUUAUACUUUGUUUAAAUCUAGUCAUCACAAGCUCCCAAAUGAUCAUUGCAUCGAUCAUAAUCGUCAGUUAUAGAUUAUGUACGAAUUAGAUCUAGGGGAUUGUGCUUAAAAAUGUCAAGAUAAAUACAAGUCUUCUUAUCUACGUAAGUUCUAGUUGAUACUUCUCAUUCUUCAAAAGGUUGUGGUUUCUCCAAGCAGACCAAUUUAUUUAGCAGAAGAAACAUUCACUGACAAUGAAGAUUUCUCUCACCAAAAUGCACAUUUUGAGAAUCGCAAACAAUAUAUAUCUUUUAUCGAUUUUUUUAAAAUAUAAAGUGUAACGUGUAUUAAUAAGGCACCAAGUGGAAAAUGGAUGAAAAUUCUAGAAUGAGAGAAACUGUUUAUGGAAAUCUGUCAUUGACUGCAAAGGAUUUGGUGAAGAUAAAUAUGAUAUUUCGAUCUUGGAGAGCAGCACUUAGUAUGAGUCUCUAGAAAAGCUGUAUGCAAUGCAGUAAUUCUGUCCUCAACCACUUAAAUUGGGUUGUCGGGAAAGGAAACAAAGUGCCAUUCUGGAGAGAUGUAUGGUGCGGUCCAGAAAACUUCCAGUCUCGGUACCCUCUUAUCUUUGCU